GCCGGGGUAGCCAAGUGGCAAAGGCGCGGGACUUAAGAUCCUGUGGAUAUAAAUCCUUUAGGGGUUCGAUUCCCCUCUCCGGCA
rnacentral:tRNA from 1 species